AAACAAUAUGGGCAAUCUUGUGGGCACUGCAGUUUGGAGACUUGUCCACUUCCACAGCUAUAGACAGCAUCCUCUGUAAAAGUGCUAUUUCCCUAAGUCAAAGAAUUGGGAAAUGAAUACAGACAAUUUCACCAAAAAUCCGGAAGAUUUACAACAUGAUCUCCAACAAUUAGCUUAACUCUAAAAUCAAUAAAACUGGAAAUGAACUUGAAGAAAACAAAAUGGAUGAAAAAUGAGCAGUUGUCCAGGGCUGCAUCAUUAUUAACGGUGAUGAAAUUGAGGAAGUGACUGAAUAUGUAUAUCUUGGAGAACAAGUACAGUAAAAUAACUUGGCAAAUGGCGAAUGGGCAAGAAGACAGAAGGCGGCUUGGACGGCUUUUAAUUGAAACUGGACAAUGCUAACAGAUGAUAAGCUGCCAAUGAAGAUCAGAGCAGGUAUCUUCAACACUAUAGUUUUACCAGCAAUGUUAUAUGCAUCUGAAGCAUGGACAACAACAAAGUUAGAGGAGGAAAAACUGGUGGUGACUCGGAAAGCAAUGGAAAGAAAAAUGCGUAGCAUGACAAAAAGAGAUAAAGUCAGCUGUAAAGAGCUGUGUCAAAGAACAGGGGUACAUGACAUGGUAAAUGAAAUCUAUGAGGCAAAAAGAUGAGGCAGGGCAUAUAGCACAAACAAAAGAAAACGGAUGGACAUGUCAACUAACUAACUGGAUACUAAGAGACCACAAGUGGCCCUUGGGCAGACCUUGUAUUCGAUGGAACGAACCAAUGGUUAAGCUUUUUGGCCAAAAAUGGAAAAGAAAAGCACAGGAUUGUAUAUUUUGGCAAAUAGUAGAUUUGUGUGAAACCCAAAGGAGUGGAUCAAUGACAAAUUGGAUAGAAUAGGACAUGUGUCUCUAGUUAACAUGACCCAUUUUGACCGAAGAUCAUAGUUACUUUAUGUUACUGGAACAGUAAUCACAGGAAAGCACUGCUUUGGCAAUGGAUCUGUGCAGAAGGCCGAUUCUGAUUGUUCUCUGGAAGUCAUCUUCUAAGGUCUGGAUUACAUACUGCAAGAACAGGAGUCGUCCAGGAAAUUUUCCUUCCUGAUGGAAUCAAGACAAUUGCAGAAAUAGAAUCAGAAAUGACUACGUCUGGUCCUUUUGUAUAUCAGUGUUCAACAUGGCAAACAACAGACAUGACAUAGUGGGGCAAAACUGAUAGUCCCAAGCUGCUAUGUAAUUUUUUUGUGUCUAUGUAAAUUAAAGACAAUGGUUAUUAAUGCACAAGGCAAAAAGGUGAAUAAAUCUCAUUCUCCAAUAGACUCUGACCUGGAAGAGCUUCUAAUGCCACCAGAUAGCGAGAGUGGUUUUUCCUCACAAGCCCAUUUUAUGCCUCUUCACAAACUUAGUUCUGAGCCAUGCAAACAAAAAGCUUGACCUGGAGCUAUAUAGAGUACAUAAUGCCUUGUAUAAUUUUUAUUCUGUUACAGUAGAAUCUCGCUUAUCCAACCUUCACUUAUCCAACAUUCUGGAUUAUCCAACACAGUCUGCCUCCCGCCUGGAUCCGCAGCAAGGACUGAAAUUUUUUAUGGAUUUAACUUCCAACAAUGUUGUUACUGUAAGAUCAUUUUAUGCAAUUCUAUCUUCAUUUGUAGUCAAUUUUUAGUAGUCAAUAUUUUUGUAGUCAAUGUUUUCAAUACAUUGUGAUGUUUUGAUGCUAAAUUCAUAAAUACAGUAAUUACUACAUAACGUUA